UACGUAGGGGGCUAGCGUUGUCCGGAAUCAUUGGGCGUAAAGCGCGUGUAGGCGGCCCGGUAAGUCCGCUGUGAAAGUCGGGGGCUCAACCCUCGGAUGCCGGUGGAUACUGUCGGGCUCGAGUACGGAAGAGGCGAGUGGAAUUCCUGGUGUAGCGGUGAAAUGCGCAGAUAUCAGGAGGAACACCAAUUGCGAAGGCAGCUCGCUGGGACGGAACUGACGCUAAGGCGCGAAAGCGUGGGGAGCGAACAGG
rnacentral:rRNA from 1 species